AUUGAACGCUGGCGGCAGGCCUAACACAUGCAAGUCGGACGGUAGCACAGAGAGCUUGCUCUUGGGUGACGAGUGGCGGACGGGUGAGUAAUGUCUGGGGAUCUGCCCGAUAGAGGGGGAUAACCACUGGAAACGGUGGCUAAUACCGCAUAACGUCGCAAGACCAAAGAGGGGGACCUUCGGGCCUCUCACUAUCGGAUGAACCCAGAUGGGAUUAGCUAGUAGGCGGGGUAAUGGCCCACCUAGGCGACGAUCCCUAGCUGGUCUGAGAGGAUGACCAGCCACACUGGAACUGAGACACGGUCCAGACUCCUACGGGAGGCAGCAGUGGGGAAUAUUGCACAAUGGGCGCAAGCCUGAUGCAGCCAUGCCGCGUGUAUGAAGAAGGCCUUCGGGUUGUAAAGUACUUUCAGCGGGGAGGAAGGCGGUGAGGUUAAUAACCUCGCCGAUUGACGUUACCCGCAGAAGAAGCACCGGCUAACUCCGUGCCAGCAGCCGCCGUAC
rnacentral:rRNA from 1 species